rnacentral:lncRNA from 1 species
GACAAUCAUAAUACAGAGGCAUAAGGGCUAUCCAAAUAGGGUCACAGGUUACGCUAUGAAUACAGGUAUCACAUCAGAAAAUUACCGUACUUAAAAUCUCAGCAAAGAGAUCACACCCUCACACAAUUAAUGUUAUCAACAUCCAUCCAGUCUCUCAAGCUCACCCUCUUCAACAAUCUUUGCUUUACUGAGUUCCGGGUGGACUAUUUAAAUAUCAUACAAAUUGAUUCUGACAUCACAAUCACUGCCUGCUUCCUAAAACUUGCCCUCCACCGUCUAUUAUAAAUGCUUUCCAAUCAGUGCUCCCAUUCUUCAUUCUAUUCACCACUUAGUUACUAGAAUGUUUUUCUCAACUAUGAAUCUGACUUCACUCCCUUUCUUGAAAACCUCCUGUAGUUCCUGUUGUGUACGGGAUAAAGACUGUGAGCCCCUGGAGUUCAGGGACCAUUUCUUAAUCAUAUUCCAGAACCUAUCACAAUGAAUGACACGAAGAAUAUAUUUGAUAAAAAUCUGAUGAAUGAACCACUCUAAAAUGCAACUCUAAUAAAGAAAAUUACUGCCUAUUCAGUUGGAACUGUACCAUGUUACAAACGUAAAAUUAUGUAUAGUCUGAUAAAGAAAUACUAUAAUAGCCUUGGAAACAGCUCACAUACAAUUUUUUUUAUAAAUGGAUUCAUUACCAUAUAACUGGACCAGCUUACUGAAGAGUAGCCCUACAGCAGUCACUUCGCAGUUUGCAAUUCAUUUGAGGUUCAAAGCUAGCUCAAGGGAAAACAACGUUAGUAUUAACAAACUUAUUUUUAAGCUUAAGGUCAGAAUUUAAGGGAAAAUAAAUAAAUAUAGUAUGUUCUAAGAAUCCAAAGGAAUUUUUAAAAAUUGCCCCCUGCAGCUGUAAUUUCUGCAUGGAUGAGAAAACCUUAAUUGCUUGCUGGCUUCCAAGAAAGCCAUUAACCUGCAUUUAAAAAUUCAGCUUUCAUCAAGAACAACCUCACAUAUCCAGCUCUCAUGGAAAAAGGAAUAGAAGCCUCUGACCUAGUUUUCAAUUAUUACCAAACUACUGAUAAUUGAUCUCCUGGUCUCCAGGUUUGUUUGUUUUACUAAAAUAAAUUCCCUCUGGAGCUGCAGGUGCUUACCAUGGGGCUGCGCAGGUGGAAAGCAGCCCAGUCUUACUAUGAGGAUGUCCGUUUGCCAUCUGGGAACAAGGAGGAAGAAGCAGAGACCUGGGCAAGACCUCAGAGAAUAAAUUAUCUCAAUGGCUACUUACAUGGUCCAGCAUAGCAGAAAAAAAAGCCACACUGAGCAAGCAGUGGUCCUUUCCAUGCUACACAAGCAAGAAAUGCCUAUAAAGACAGACUUGAGUGCAGUCUAAAGAAUCUUUUGCUUUGCCUUAACACUCUACUUCUGGAUAUCCUUGCUCAAAAAGAAGUCUACUCAAGACAGGGAGGUUCCUGUGGACAGAAACAUCUGCUUCCUGCUUAUCCUGUAUCUCAGCAUCUGAAUGGUCAUGACUGGAACACAGGCAGACUUCAGAAAUAAAUACAUAAAUAUCUCAUACUCCUCGAAUCUUUUAGAAAAAGAGUGUGGGUAACAAUAAACAUAUCUGCUGAGAAAUGACCA